rnacentral:rRNA from 1 species
UACGUAGGGGCCUAGCGUUGUCCGGAUUUAUUGGGCGUAAAGAGCUCGUAGGCGGCUUGGUUAGUCAGGUGUGAAAUCUCCACGCUCAACGUGGAGGGGCCACCUGAUACUGCCAUGGCUUGAGUCCGGUAGGGGAGUGUGGAAUUCCCGGUGUAGCGGUGAAAUGCGCAGAUAUCGGGAGGAACACCCGUGGCGAAGGCGACUUCCUGGCCUGUUCUUGACGCUGAGGCGCGAAAGCUAGGGGAGCAAACGGGG